AAACAAACAAAGAAAACAAAAUCGUGAGCUGUCCUAGAGUUUUAAAAACAGUGAUACUCUAAAAGGGGAACAACAACAAACCCUAAAGACAAGCACCUUUCGGCUCUGAUACAUCAAGAGACUUCAUCCUUUUGGGUUACAGUUUUAAAGCAAAUCACUGUAUUCCUCCGGACCCUACUGUUCUCAUUUCUGCAUUAUAUUAUUACAUCAUUAUACAUAUAUAUUUCUCAUUUAUAACUCAGUGAAAGACUGAUGAAUUAGCACAUGUCCAUAAUCCCAAUGCUGAAGAAACGGGAGAAGGAUGUGUAGAAGGGAUAGGAUAUUCACUAGAAUUAUGAAGUUUCAGUGAAAUAAUGUACAAGACAAAGCAAUUAGCACUAAGAUUGCCAUACAACAAGCAUUCAGUUGGUACUGGUACCUUUGUCGAAAAGGUAAGGCCAUAGCCACAGACAUGGCAGGUGCUUCUCAGAACUGGAUCUCAGAUGUUGAAGCUUUGGAUCCCUCCCUGCCACCCAUCUGUCCAGAACCAGUUCAUGGACUCCCUCCUCACCUUCCCAAGCCCAGAGUGCUAAAUUGAUGAAGCUAAAAGGGUUUAAUCAUGUUGGUAUAUUUAUAUGUAAAUACAAAACUGUACCACUAUAAGAUAUUGAAUAUGAACAUUACAAUUAUUUACUGAAUCUGACUCAGUCCAUUGAUGUUAAAUACAAAAUGAAAUGAUUGUAAAAAAUAAGAAUAUACACAUUCAAAGAUCUUAUUACAGUAUAAAAUUAUUGGGUCUGACCAGCUGCCAACCUCAUCAUCUGGAGUAGGGGAACAUUUAGGGGGAUCAGUGGAGUUUUGUGGGAACACUGAAGUGUUGGGAACUCUUGAUUCUAUUCCUAGCAAAUCAGACUGGGAAAAGACAGGAUCAAGUUGGAUGGGUAGGGGACCAGUGAUUGCAAGGAACUACCUCAUCCAGCCAAGGGGAUUAUUAUACUUUAUAAGGACAUAGAACACAUUUAGUUUGAGGUCUGGGAUCUGGAAGGCUAGCAGGCAAGGAGAACUGGGCAUCUCAGUCGACAAGGAAGAGUUGCACAAAGAAAGGGUCUUUCAAUGAAAGAAAAAAGGGGUCCCAGUUUGUCCUCCCAGGAAGGGAGUUUCAUAUUAGGUUCCUUUCAGUCACUCCAGGAUUCUCCUUUCUUUUAAGAUUUCGUACCGAUUACUUUUGGCUCUGGCAGCUCUGUAAAUUCAUCUCUAGCCUUGGACCCCAUUGCUGGGAUUAGUCACCGUGAGGAAUCCAAACCGGAUCCGAGAGUCUUUUUCUAAAGGCCAGUACUGUCCACAUUUUCUUCUGCCGCCUUCCUCGAAGCUGAAGAUAAACAGAGCAAGUUAAGCUUCACUCUUCAACAGGCAAAAAAGCUUCUUCCCACCACAAACUGCUGAGCUCCUAGGCAGCAAUGCCAUGUGAUCUGCAAAGCUCCUGAAGUCUGCCACUGAUGCUCGGCAGAAAAAGAAUGAAAUCUCUCCAUUCUAAACAGAUGGUAGAGAAACGAAGGAAGAGGAAGCAAUUGAAGAAAGCAGGAAUGAAAAGCAAAGGGACUGGGGAUCCAGCAGCCAGAGACAUCUUCCCUCUUGAGUCGAGCCUUCUGCUUCACAGUGCUUCCUCCAGUGAAUAAGGCCAGGACCCCAGGGCGGCUGUAACGAGCACUGGGUCCCUAGAAUUAGGGAUUCAAUAUCUACAAGGCUAUCUCUUUCUCCACCAGACCUCAGCAUGUCAACAAGUAAUGUGCCAUGGCUUUCCUAGUCACUCAGGGUCAGGGUAAAGGCAGGGAGGGUAUGGAAAAAAGAAGACUAACUUACCGGGUGGUCAUUACAAUCACCAAAACUUUUUGCUCCCAAACCAUGAGCCAGAAGUCACGAUAGGUAUUCUCCAAAGGGCCUAGAAUGAAAGGAGACGACGAAGAACAGACACUUCAGAAACAUGUCUGUCUUUCUUCCAAACAGUAAGUCCAAAGCACAGAUGUAAGCUCCCUGCUUUUCUUUCCGUUGUUGUUGUUGUUGUCUAGGAGAGGGUCUCUCCUAGACUUAGACUAUGUACUCCAGCAUGACCCAGAACUCCUGUUCCUCUGGCCUCCCCUCCCAAGUGCUGCAAUUACAAGUAUUCAUACGAGCCACCACAGACUUCCUAUUCUUAUCUCUGAUUUUUUCAGAGAGGUUCUCACACCAACCAUAACAUCUCAGUAUGAGUAUUAGAGACAUAGAAUGACAAGGCUGGAGAGAUGGCUCAGCAGUUGAAAAUCAUGCUGUUCUUGCAGAAGUCCUAAAUUCAGUUCCCAGAACAUACGUCAGGUAUCUCAGUGUGUAACUCCACCUCCAAGGGAUCCAAUGACCUUUUCUGGCAUCCACAGGAACCUGCAUUCACAUGCACACAUCCACAUACAAACAUACAUAUACAUAACUAAAAAUAAAAUAAAUCAGGGCUAGAGAGACCAGUGGUUAAGACCAGUUGUUGAUCUUGCAAAGGAACUGGGUUGAAUUCCAGGCACCCACAUGGCAGCUAAGAGCAUUUGUAAUAUAAAUUCCAGAGGAUCUGAUGCCCUCUUCUGGUCUCUGUGGUUACUGCAUGCAUGUGGUGCUAGACAUGCAAGCAGGCAAAACACAUACAAAUAUAAAAUUAAAAAUUUAAAGAUAAAUAAAAAUGAAUCUUCACCAAGAAUAAAAUGGAACAGGAUGUUCACAAGUGAGCCAUAUGCAGGGAGCACUGUUAAAGACCUCUCAGAGCCUGAGCCACAGUGCCUCAGCAACCUGAUGGACCAGUGCCACUGACCUGUCUCACCCCACCUGACCCUCAGCCUCAGAACAAUUAACUACAAACCAUUGGCUCAAGUCCCUCACGACUGGGACCUAGUCUUCUUCAAAAAUCAUUUCAUCCUUCAACUUACACACUUACCCUCCCUUGGUCCCUUUCCCUUUUUCAACAGGGUCUUACUGUAGAGGUUAGACAGGCCUGAAACUUGGGACCCUACUGCCCCGGCUGCCAGUGUGCAGGAAUUAGGCAUGUGCCACCAUGCACAGCUUUCAUUCUCGACUUUCUUAUCGCUAAAUAAGACUUCUAGUAGUCAAGCUGGAGAGAUGGCUCAGUGCCUGCUCUUCCAAAGGUCCUGAAUUCAAUUCCCAGUAACCACAUAAUGGCUCACAACCAUCUGUAAUGAGGUCUGGUGCCCUCUUUCUGGCAUGCAAGCAUACAUGGAAGGAAUGUUGUAUACUAAAUAAAUAAAUCCUUAAAAAAAAGACUUCUAGUAGUCUUUGUUAAAAUUAUUAUCACUAUUGUUUUUGUUAGUAAGUACGGGGAGCAGGAGUGCCACGUGAACAAGUGGAUCCAUGCUAAGAACUUGUAUUUUAAGUCU